AAGUUACAGUGGGAGUUUGCAGAUUCUUUUGGCUUGAUGUGUUCUUUAUUAACUCUCAUCUCUUCCUGCCUCCAUUAUAACUUCUUGAGUAAUGGCAAGAAACAGCCAAUACAAUUUUCGAUGAUACCUCUGGCAUUCUCCGUGUGUGUGUUCUGCUCAAGAGUUUUUCGACAAACCAGCAAUAAACCUACUUUUAUCUUGAAGUGCAAAUACUUG
rnacentral:misc_RNA from 1 species